rnacentral:rRNA from 1 species
CGUGCUUAACACAUGCAAGUCGAACGAACCUUCGGGUUAGUGGCGGACGGGUGAGUAACGCGUGAGAAUCUGCCCUCAGGAGGGGGAUAACGGCUGGAAACGGCCGCUAAUACCCCAUAUGCCGAGAGGUGAAAUGAAUUUCGCCUGAGGAUGAGCUCGCGUCUGAUUAGCUAGUUGGUGGGGUAAUGGCCUACCAAGGCGACGAUCCAUAGCUGGUCUGAGAGGACGGCCAGCCACACUGGGACUGAGACACGGCCCAGACUCC